CUACCUUGGCCUCCCAAAGUGCUGGGAUUAUAGGGUGAGCCAUCGCGCCCGGCCCCUUUUGAUUUCUUUACAGAAUAUUGCUGUAGUAUAACUUUUUUCCAUGCACUUAAUUUUUGUUCCCUUGUUGGCAUAUUUCAUUUUCUUCCCUGAAAAUGGGUAGACUGAGAUAAGGUAUGAGGAAGCCUUGGCCAUGCCACCAGCCGCUUAUCCCAAAUUCCUGAUCCCUGGAAGACAUCUGGGCUCUCCCUCCUGUUCCAGCCCAGUAGCUUCCAGCAAAGGUACUGGCUCAAUUGGACACGGAGUGUGGAACUGCCUGCUCACACUUGUGAACCCCCGUCCAGAAGGAAGAAACAGAAAGGGCCCAGUGAGUAUAGGAAGAUGCCAGGGCCCACUGUGGAAAGCCUGGAGCCAAGUUUUUCUUAAAUGCAAAUGUCCCCAGUGUGGGGUCACGUCCAAGCUCCAGAAGGAAGCCUGGCCUGGGCGGGGGGGUGGGAGGGCUGUUGCUAGAACCUGUCAAUCCUGCUCCACACUUCCGAGUUUUCCGUGGCUUCUCCUGAAACCCGGGCCUAGGGGGUGGGGCUUGAUUCCUAUCCUAGGGGUACUGGGCGGGGUCGUGUAAAUUAUCCAAUCAGGCGCUCCGCCAGGAGGGUGGGGCCAAGCUCCGCAAGUCUAAGGGGCUCCUGUUCCCCUAACCCACUGAAUUCAGCCUUCCAGAGGCCGAGGUGGCUCCACCACAGCUUCUGUCCGGUGGUGACCAGCACUGAUCUCCGGAGCCAAGGGAGGACCCGGGACACCUGGGAGCCGGGAAAUGCUGCAGCCCAAGAGGCCAACUGGAACGUUAACAUCAGACACUAAUCCAGCUGACUGAGAUUUUUUAAACUGACAGGAUCAUGGCCAUUUCACAGACAACUACCCAAAAAUAUCUACAGACGGCACUGCUCCUACCAACCCGAUACCAGAGAACUCUCUGUCCCCUCGUCAGCAGGAAGUAGCCAGAAAGAACAUGCCGCCCCUCGUCCUUUUUAUAACUAUGAGGUCUGGAUUGACAGAGCAGAAGCAUCACCAUUGUGGAUAAGCGCCUCAUUUUAAAAUUCACCUUAAUCAAAAACUGCCUAAAUCCAAAGGGCAUCAGCCUAAUGGCUAAGGUCAGCAUGAUCACAAACCACAAAUAACAUCUCCAACCAAAAACAUUCCAGACACCUCCCACAGAGAAAUGCUAGCCUCGGGAUAACCCCUCUCCUGCCGGAAAGAUGUCACCCCCAAGAUAACCACCCCUCCGCCCAGAACAUUCCAACCCUGCCACAAACUUCUCCCCCACACAGAAACAUUCCAAGCUUGUAAUAAGCUCCCUCACCCUAAAACCAACGUACAUUCUUAGUCUGCAAGGAAAAGUGCUCCUGACUGACCAGCCAGAAUCCUCUCUCAGGUCUUUUCUAUAAUAAACCUGUCUUUGACUGUCAA
rnacentral:lncRNA from 1 species